rnacentral:rRNA from 1 species
CCGGUAAAUACCUUUUUGGUAAAACCGGCCAACCAAUUGUCGCCCCCCUCGGUAUUCCCGGGGGGGCCGAUGCCUGUUCGAGCGUCAUUUCACCACUCAAGCCUCGCUUGGUAUUGGGCGACGCGGUCCGCCGCGCGCCUCAAAUCGACCGGCUGGGUCUUUCGUCCCCUCAGCGUUGUAGGAAACUAUUCGCUAAAGGGUGCCGCGGGAGGCCACGCCGUAAAACAACCCCAUUUCUAAGGUUGACCUCGGAUCAGGUAGGGAUACCCGCUGAACUUAAGCAUAUCAAUAAGCGGAGGA